CCCACCUGGAUUACUCGGGAGACCCUGAGCCGGCCGCUCUGCCCACCCCUGACUCCUGCCCUGGGGAACCUGAGGUAUGGCGCAGACAAUGGGAAGGAUGGGGGACACAUAGCAUCAUCACACUGGGAGAUCAAUAUGACGUCUCAACCCAAGAGGGCAGAUGCUCUCCUUGCCGAAAUAAUAAACCUGAGAAACAGAUGAUGUGGCUUGAUCUGUGACCAACCAGGCCUGCUCACUCCUUGAAGGUUAACAGAAUAAAAUGACUGGAAAUUAGUCUGGCCUAACACACACUGUCAAAUAGCAGGGAAAUCCUACGAGGACAGUGAAAAAAAAAUACUUCUGCAGCCUUGCCAUUUGAUGCCACAUUGCAGAGCGAUCCCCUGUGAAGUGACUUCCAUCCAGGGCCACAAAACAAAACCAUCUAACCUUAAUCAUCACACCUUCCACCUUACAAGACGUUGGUUGUAAAUCUCCUUCAGGGCCUAUAUUUGCUGCUGUUGGCACGGUAAGAAAAUGCUUGCCAGGGAGGAUUUCAAACCUGGAAGCGAAUGUGUCAGCUCACUUCAAACUCAACAGCUGGUUGCUCAUUCUCUAUGGCAGUGACAGACGUAAAAGAGGGAGCAGCAUUAUGUCUUAUAGAUUUCAUCUUUUCAGUCACCGUAAACUUCGUCAGGCUCUCUCAGCCAGCUUGUUUUUUUCCUUUGAAGCCUUAACAGGAUAAACCGUAGAGGGGAAAUCCGAUCGGCAGGUAUUGCACAGCCGAGGGACGCCGGGCCGUGCACUUUUCACACGCAUCUCGUGGCCUCCCCACACCACGUCAUCCGCAAGCUGGGCCUCGUGUGCCCCUGUUUUAGGACAGCUGGGAUUGCAGAACUGAAAGCACCAGUUUCCAGUGAGAGCCUCUGAGAAGGACAGAGAGAGAAGAGUUCCCAGGAGGGGUGGCCCAGCCAGCCCCGAUACGCCUUCUCCUCUAAAAUUUCCUCUUUCUACCCCUUUCCUAUGCCUGGAGUCACUCCUCGUGUGGUCCACUGUCUGCUUCUCUCACUGAGCACAAGGUUUGGGGUUCAUCUGUAUUGUUGCACGUAUCCGCUACCUGUCCCUGCUCGUGCGGAGCAUACUCGAUUGUACGAAAAUACCGUUUUCUUUUCAAUGAGCCCACUAGAUGAUAGACAUACGGAUCGUUUCCAGCUUGGGUUUUAUGAAUAAUCUGCUCUAAACAUUCACGGAGUAGUCCUUGACAUGUGUUUUCACUUCUCUCGAGCAGAUUCCUAGGGGUGGAUGCGUUGCAUUGCACACUGAGUGUAUGUUUAACUUUUUGCUAGAUUGUGAAAAGAUUGUGAGGACUUGGCUGCAAGAGCGGUAAGGGAGCACUUUUGGUGACGGAAACGUUCUAAGACAUUUGAAAACCGGACAGGACUAAAAGUCAUCAGACCAUACACUAACUGUGUGAAUUUAAUAUGGAAAACGUCAGGCCUCAAUAAAGUUGUUAAAAAAGGAGACGCUAGGGGUACGGCUCAGACAGUAAGUGUCUGACUUCGGCUUAGGUCACGAUCUCGGGGUUCGUGGGUUCGAGCCCCACAAUGGGCUCUGUGCUGACAGCUCAGAGCCUGGAGCCUGCUUCGGAUUCUGCGCCUCCCUCUCUCUCUGCCCCUCCCCGACUCAUGCUCUGUCUCUCUCUUUCUCAAAAAUAAAUAAACGUUAAAAAAAAAAAAAUCAGAAUCUGAACACUGGCCAGAAAUCUGAUAAUAUUAAGACAUUGUUGGGAGUCUUUUACCGGUGAUAAUAUCACCGUUAUGUUUUCUUUAAAACAAACUCUUGUCUUUUAGAGAUACAUACGGAGUUACAGGAAAUGAUAUAAUGCCUGAGAUUUGCUUCGAAAUAAUACAGGAGGAUCUGGGUGGGCUUAUAGAUGAAACAAGCCUGCCAAUAAGUUGAUCGUUGCGGAAGGCAGGGGAUGGAUGGAUACACGGAGAUUUAUUUUAUUAUUCUGUCCUCUUUGGUACAUGCUUCCAUAUUUUAAAGUUUGAAAAGAUGAACUUAAGAGUCUCAAAAGAAAGAAAGAAAAAAAGCUGAAUUGGCCACGUCCCGCAGUGGCCAGUGACGACACCAGGCAGGAGUGAGGCAGGGAACGUCUAUUGUCUCUGCCUGCUCGGCACACCCUCCCCCUUCUACUAACAGUGGCCAGACUUUGCUUUGAGUAAGGGCCAGCCUCUGCUUGCGUCUUCCAUGGUCUGCCCACCUUCGAUCCAGGCCCCGGGCCCGGAGCCUCGGGGAGCCAGUCAGCCGCUGUCUCCUGGACAUUCUCGCUCAGCUCAUGUGGGAUGGUGUGAAAAGGGGAGAAGCCAGAGCUGAUCUCCGCCCCCCCAUCUGAGAGAGCAGCCUUGGGGUGCUGCUGCUAUUAAUCCCCACAGCAGCUGACUCCCACCCUUUUUGGGAACCCGGAUCUCAGCUUUCUUUGGUUCUAUGAACCGUCCAGCAUCGCGCCGACAAAUUCCCUUCUUGUUUAAGUUGGCCAGUGUUGCUUUCCUUGGCCGAAAACCAAAACACCCCGGGGCAGACACAGCACAGCUUCCCGGACAGUCUGCACGUUCCUUCCGUCUCUGCACCUCCUUCGGGCAGAUUCAGCUACAGGCGCAGACCCCCUCGGACGCUACGAGUUGCACAAGGCGACCUGGCAACUAAAACAGGAAGGAAAACACACCACACAGAGGCACCGAAUCCUCGCUCUGCUCUAACACAAAUGGAAAGCAUCGUCAUGAAGACAGAAACAUUGACCGGACCAGAAAAGUUUCACUGGCCUCUAACGCACCGUGGGGUAGAAAUAUAUGAACCACAGAUGAGAGGCACAGAUGUAAGUUCUAAAUUUUCCAGGAGCUGCAUUAAAGUGGUAAAAAGAAAUAGGUGAAAUUAAUUUCAGUAAUACACUUUAUUUAAGCCAAUAUAUCCCAAAUAUUAUCAUUUCAAACUGUAACCCCUGUGGAAACUAUUACUAUAUUAAUAAUAUUUUUUAAUGUUUAUUUAUUUUUGAGAGAAAGAGAGAGACAUCACCAGCAGGGGAGGGGCAGAGGAAGAGGGGCAUUGAGCAGUUAGUGGUGGGAGAGGAUGCACGGAGCUUCACCAAGAAGCAGAAAGAGCUGCUGGGGGACGUACGAUUACCUCCUGCAUCCGGUCCCUCGUGCCCGGAGCCUACACGUUGCCCCCCGAUCCACGCCACACAAUAGAAGCCAAACGAACACGCUGAAAAUCAACACCUCCUAGAUCGGCCAGAAAAGGGAGGCCACGGGGCAAACCUCGGUGCCCAAGUGGGGGAGACAGCUUUCCAGAACAGAAGUCUGAGAGCAGGAGGCGCCGGGAGACCCUGCGGGGGCCAGAGAAGCCCCCCCCAGGGUAGACGCGGUGGAUGCUGGCCUCGCGAUGAGGACAAGUGUGAGAAUGAAAACCUCUCAGCCCUAAGGGUCCGCCCCACAUUUCCGUGAGCUUUGCCCCCAGAGGCUCCAUCAGGUCUUAACAGAGGAGGGAAAAACAUCCCCUGGGGUGUCCAUCGGGGGAGGGGAAGCAGCCCGUCUUGCAACAUGUCCAGGGGGCUCUGCUUUGCAAGGCCUGCCGGGCGGGGGCGGGCUUCGGGCUAAGAGUCUUGCUUUCCUCAUCUCCCAGCCUGUUCUUGUAAAGCGCUCUGCGUUUCCAGAAGCAACGUGAAUGAGGUUCCGAGUGUCUUGCAGCCCCAUUGACAUUAUUUCUUUUAAGCCCUCCAACACCCUUCUAAGUCUGCGUUACAGCCGAGGACCCUGAAGCCCGGAGAGGCCAAAUAACGCGCCCAAGGUCACGUGACUGGGUAACAGAGGAGCGGGCUCCAGAGCCUGUGUCCCCUCCAGCACACCUUCCUGCCGCUUUGACUUCACUGUGGCAACUCAACGCAGUUUGCUCUGUCCUACGUCUCCAGCCGGCAUAUCAUCACCAGCAUAUUGUCUGGCUGCUAAAUGGGGGAGGGGCGGAGAGCGAGGGGGACAGAGGAUCCGAAGCAGGUUCUGAGCCGUCAGCACGGAGCCCGAUGCGGGGCUCAAACUCCCGCACCGUGAGAUCAUGACCUGAGCCGAAGUCAGAUGCUCAACCGACCGAGCCACCCAGGCGCCACCCCCCACUCCUUCCAACUCCCCUGCUGGUGGCCACACUCCUGCGGAGGCCCCUCCCGUGCUGAACUGGGUGGCCGCGUAACCACAGGGACACUGUAGAAAUGGCAGGGUGGGGCUUCCUCGUGUGCUCUCGCCGGAGCUCGUCACCUGGGAGGUGGACCCUCCGGUCUCAGGAAAACUUCCAGGAGAUGCAGCCCCGACCCACACAUUGACACAACCUCCUGAGACACCCCAUGCAAGAACGACCCAGCUGAGUCGUUCCUUCCCCAAUUCCAGGCCCACAGAAACUGAGGUGAUACGUGUUCUUGUGUUUUCAGCACGUUGGAGCCAUUUACCGCCCAGCAACAGAUGAGCAACACAGCCUCUCUCUCUCUCUCUCUCUGGCUGUCUUUUGCAGCUGUACAAAAGUGCAGUCCUGCUCCACAGUGGUCAGAGUUCCCGUGGCUGCAUGACCGGAAGCCCUCAGGACGCCGCGAACAGGCAGGAAGCAGUCCUGGGGCCACAGGAAGCAUCCCAGAAGGAUAGGGCAGCAGCAGGAAGUAACACUCAGCAGACAGGAAAGGGAAGACGAUACAAACACAGAGAUCUGGGUUCUGCAGGCAUUUGACAGAUAUUAAGUGAGUUCCAACCCUUUGAGGAUGCAGGUAUGGACCAGGAGCUUCUGAACUUUGAGGCUUCUUCUCCUCAGCCCCAUCUACCUGCCUUCAGACUCAGCCAGCUCUAACGCUGAGGGUUCCAGAAGCACCCUUUCUUGUUGCUGGGGCUCUGUUCUGCUUUGCACGUACCCACCCCGGCCCGAGGGUGAAACCCCUCAGGGCCAUUGGGGGCCCAAGGCAUCGCUUCUUUGCAGGUCUGGUACAGCCACCGUGUGCCUGGCACGAUUCCCGACUUUGGCAGGUAAAGACAGGAGAGAGCGGAGGCAGGAGCCCGGCCACACCCCACCCUCGGAGCGGCUGGGCCGGGAGAACUUUCCACAAUGAUGGGCAUGUUCUUUAUCUGCAGUGAUCAGGACGGUAGCCACAGGAUAAGGACCUCCACAUCCAGUGCUUGAAACGUGGCUCAUGCCACUGAGGAAUGGAAUGCUUAAUGUUACUUCAUUUUAAUUAGAACAUACAUGCAAAUAGCCAGCUGUGGCUAGUGGCUUCUGAAUUGGGCGGCAUGGCUCUUAUCCACGUUCGGGGUCUACAACGCAGGCUCUGUAGAGUUGUAUUUUUAUUUUUUAAUUUGUAAAUUAAAGUACUAUUUACAUAGAGGAAAAUUUUGCUUUAAACCUUUUUUUUUUAAGUGUUUAUUCACUUUUGAGAGAGAAGAAAGAGCCUGAGUGGGGGAGGGGCAGCAAGCGAGGGAGACAGAAUCCGAAGCAGGCUCCAGGCUCCGAGCUGUCAGCACAGAGCCCGACACGGGGCUCGAACCCACGAACCGUGAGAUCAGGACCUGAGCCGAAGUCAGACGCUCUACCAACUGAGCCACCCAGACGCCCCGAAAAUUGGCUUUUUUUAGUGCACAGUUUUGCUCCUUUUGACAGAUACACAGAGUCACGCAAUCGCCACCACAGUCAUCCCCUCCCCCGCCCCCCAAAUUCCCACGUGCCAUUUUGCGGUCAGCCUCUCCCCAGACCUCCAGCCCCUGGCAACCGCUCACUUGUUUCUGUCUCUAUAGUUUUGCAUUUCCCGGAACGUCCUGCAGAUGAAAGCCUACCCGGUGCAUUUUGGGGUUCACCCGUCUUCUGCAGAUUCGCACUUGGCUCUUUUUCAUUGCCACGUUGUAUUCCACCGCGUGGCUGUACAGCAAUUUGUUAAUCGGUCCCCAGUUGGGGUGCAUUGGGAUCGUUGGGGCGUUUCCACUUUUUGGUGGUUAUUUGCGUACAGGUUUUUUGUACCAACGCAAGUUUUCAUUACACUUGGGUUAAAGCCACGUAAUGGGGCUGCCAGCCAGAAGGUAAGUUUGCUGAACUUCAUAAGAAACCGCCAAACUGUCUUCUCAAGCGGUGGCAUCGUCGUGCACAUCCCGCCAGCUAGGUCAGCGAGCGCCCGGCCGCUCCACGUUUGCAACAACAGUUGGUAUCGUUAUUUUCCUUAAGUAACUUCAGUAGGUGUCUACCGAUGUCUCGUUGUUUCAACUCACUCCCAACAAGUGGUGAUGUCGAGACUCUUUUCCUGUGCUUGUCUGUCAUCCAUAUAUGUCUUCUUUGAUAAAUAACCUGUUCAUGUUUUGUCUUGUGUUUUCUUUUAUUUUUUUUUCUUAAAUGGGGUGUUUCUCCGGAUAGUUCACUGCCUCUUUUGUUCUUUUUUUUAAAAAAAUUAGCGUUUUUUACUCAUUUUUGAGAGAGAGAGAGAGAGAGAGAGACAGAGCGUGAGUGGGGGAGGGGCAGAGAAGGGGAGACACAGGAUCCAAAGCAGGUUCCAGGUUCUGAGCUGUCAGCACAGAGCCCGACGCGGGGCUCAAAAACCACGAACCGUGAGAUCAUGACCUGAGCCAAAGUCAGCCACUUAACUGACUGAGCCACCCAGGUGCCCCUGUGCACUGCCUCUUUUUAACACAGUCUUGUCACCUCCCAAUAAAGCCCACUUUUCUUCUUGA